UACGGAGGGUGCAAGCGUUGCUCGGAAUCAUUGGGCGUAAAGCGCACGUAGGCGGUCCGUUAAGUCGGGUGUGAAAUCCCUCGGCUCAACCGAGGAAGUGCAUUCGAAACUGGCGGACUUGAAUAUGGAAGAGGGUCGUGGAAUUCCCGGUGUAGAGGUGAAAUUCGUAGAUAUCGGGAGGAACACCAGUGGCGAAGGCGGCGACCUGGGCCAAUAUUGACGCUGAGGUGCGAAAGCGUGGGGAGCGAACAGG
rnacentral:rRNA from 1 species